rnacentral:rRNA from 1 species
UACGUAGGGUGCGAGCGUUAAUCGGAAUUACUGGGCGUAAGCGUGCGCAGGCGGUCUGUUAAGACCGAUGUGAAAUCCCCGGGCUUAACCUGGGAACUGCAUUGGUGACUGGCAGGCUUUGAGUGUGGCAGAGGGAGGUAGAAUUCCACGUGUAGCAGUGAAAUGCGUAGAGAUGUGGAGGAAUACCGAUGGCGAAGGCAGCCUCCUGGGCCAACACUGACGCUCAUGCACGAAAGCGUGGGGAGCAAACAGG